CACUGUUACCAGUUUUACCAUCGAAUGAAGAAACUGCUGAUUUAAAUUCACUGGACAUGAAUCUUUCCAAUGAGCUACCAAGUGUAGAGUCUGGAUAUGAGAUCAGCCUACCUUUGAUUACUCUGUCAGGCCUACCAGUUUUACCACCAAUUGAAGGAGAAGAAAUCAAUAAGGACCCAUCUACA